GCAAAAUGUAUACUUUCAACUUUUUUGUUUAAUUAAGAAUUGAGGUAAUUGAUUGAUUAAAUGAUGGGCUUGAUCAAAAGAAUGAAAAAGAAAGAGAUGAUGAACUCUCUUUUUAGUUGGGCCAAUGGAAUUUAGGAUUUUAAAAACUGAAUUUCUCUUUUAUUUUGGAUUAAAAUUUUUAAUUGGGGGUGCAAAAACUAAAUCUAAAAUAAUUUAUAUAUGAAUAUUAAUACUACUAAAUUUUUUUUUUUUGGGGAUGCAGCUGCACCCCCAUGUUCCAUGCUACAUCCACCAGUGAAAACAUGGAUAUCCUUACCUUGACAGAUCACCUUCAAGCUUCUCUGCCCGACUAAUUAAGCGAGAAAUCGAACGAAAUGGUUCUCUUCGAAGUGUUUAACUUGUCGGGUGACCUGGACAUAUUAUAACCAGAAAAGUAUUCAGAUAGCAAGCUUAUUAACAGACGAAGCGAGAAUCAAAACUAACCUCAACCGGCCUUCGAAGAGGGGAGGCGGCGACCGGAAAAAAGACUAAGAGCAACGGUGAAGCGCGGCGGACCGGAGGCUCACAGCGGCGGCGAGGUUGUAUGCGAUGGUGCGGAAGGAUGGCUUUGAGGUUAGUUGUGAGGAGAUAAUUGAUUGAGUUGGAGAAGAAUUAGAACUUUAAUUAAUUUUUAUUUAUAUUUAGAGUUUAGUUUAGUUAGUACAUAAGAUAAAGAUUUUGAUAUAUAUAAAUAUAUACCGAAUUAGAGUGAACUUCUUCCAUAGAUAAUUAUAUUAUAUCUCUUAAUUAAGAUAAUUAUAUUAUAUCCCUUAAUUCACUCAAUGUCAUUCUCUUUAAAAAAUAAAAAUAAAAAGAAAGAAGUCAAUGGAUUGAAAAAUCGUGAGGGUGAUAAGAUAAUUAUAUUAUAUCCCUUAAUUCACUCAAUGUCAUUCUCUUUAAAAAGGAAAAAAAGAAAGAAGUCAAAAUUAAUUGAAAAAUCGUGAAGUUGAUAAUUAUUAAUCUAUAUACUAACAAAUUUAUAUUUUAGGGGUAAAAUAGGCAAUCCACAAGUUGUCCCUUAAAUUGUCAUUCGC
rnacentral:lncRNA from 1 species